UUUUACAAAAAAGACCCUUCAUUUUGGUGUAUUGAACCCGCGAUCCUGGCUCUGAGAAAACAUUGCAAAAAAGACCCGUGCAUAACGAGUGACUGGGGGCGGCGGCUGCUCGACGCGGAACGACGCCGGCGUCUGGCGGCGGCGGCUGCUCGAUGCGGAACGACGCCGGCGGCUGGAGCUUGCAGGGGCCGGAUCCGUGUGCGGCAGAGGCUGGGGAGGCCGAUUCGGAGGCGGGCGGCGAGGCAGGGGUCGCCGGUGACGAUGAGGAAGGCCGGAGCGUGGUUUCCCUGGCAGAUCCAUGGCAUCCGCGGCUCCUGGGCAGAAAGAAGAAUGGAGAUGAGGGAGAGAAGAAGGAAGAAAGGAGGGGCGGUGCGGUGUCCUAGGCAGGAGCUCGCCGGAGCCGAGCGACAGAGGACGUGCGCUGCAGACGGAGGGAUCCAGAGCCGGCCGGUCGGGCGAAAGUACACCAACCAGGCCAGGGGUGGCGUACGAAUGAGGACUUCAUCACCAUCAGGAAGAGAAAGUGCGAAGCACUCUACCCAAUUUCCCGCAUUUCAAGAAGCCAUUACAUUUAUGAUCUUUUCUAUAGAAGAAGGAAGGAUAUGUCAAAUAAUCUGUAUGAGUUUUGCCUGGACAAGGGUUAUGCAGACUGUAAUCUGAUUGUAAAGUGGAAAAGGUCAGUUGCCUCAACUUUAUAUCAUUUGAGCUAGGGACCAAGAUGGAUAAGGUUGAUUUGGCUUGAUCAUGCCAAAGAAAUUUACUUCCUUUUUGGAAAAUGAAAACAUGUUUUGGAGGUUCAGGGUUAAGUUUCCAAAACUGAGCUUUAUAGCAAGGCAAAGAGGAUCAAGAGAAGCAGAGUAGGAUAAUAAAGGUUCACAUAGAUGUAGUAAUCUGUCACUAUCAGCUAGCUCAAGUAUAUAUGACUGUAUGAUAAUACAGGUUCACAUAUAUAUGUAGCAAUCUGUCACUAUCACCUAGCUCUAAUUGAAAUUUUCUUGGAGCAGUUUCAUUUGCAAAUAGACCAGCUACACGGGCACACACAUACACACACACACCCUAAUUGAGAUAUCAUAUUACUUACAUGAUGUGGGUUUAUUCAGGUUGUUAUGAUAAAUUAUUUGACUGAUCAUUGUAAGCUUUCAAAUCCAGUGGGAAGAUGGCUAGGCUGCCUUUAGAUCCAAUGUACUCCAAGGCAUUGAUAGUGUCUACCAAAUUCAAGUGCUUGGAAGGAAUGUUGAUUGAUGUUAGUAGCUACAGUUGUCUGUAAGCUUUCAAAUCCAGUGGGUAGAUGGCUAGGCUGCCUUUAGAUCCAAUGUACUCCAAGGCAUUGAUAGUGUCUACCAAAUUCAAGUGCUUGGAAGGAAUGUUGAUUGAUGUUAGUAGCUACAGUUGUCUGAAUGAGACAACGUACAGGAGCAAUAAGAAGGAUCCCAUGCUGUACUUAUGGGCUAUCGAGCAGAACCACAUAUAGCCGUGUCUCCUUUGCUGCAUAAAAGGUCAGUAACCUCCAGAUUCAUUGCUUCUUGGUCUUUAUUUUGUUGGUGAAUAAAUUGUAGUGCACUGAAUAACACAGAAUGGAUCAGAGUGACUUGAGAUUCUUUUAAUGUCUAGGUGAAUAACAGAAUUUUUUCUUAUCACAUAGCAUUCUGUUUUGCUAUUUCAAAUGUGCUCUUUAUUGAACAAUCUUUUGGCCUUCGAAGUUUCGAACCAUUGUUUGUCACAAUUUUUUAGAUCGGUUGUAGAUUUUAUUGACCCCCUCACGUAAACUCGGAAUUGAGUGACUCUUUUUACUCUGGAAAGCUUAAGUCAAUAAGCAUCUUGAGAAAAAAUAUAAAAAAAUUGGUAAAAAUAUUCAGAGGAUAAGUUGAAGAGAGAAGUUUCAUUAAUUGUACAUGUUUUGGAGCUUAUAUUUUUUAUCGAGAGCUAGGUUUGUUGGUCCUUUUGUGCAAUUAAGCUCGUGCCGCUGGAACCAUGUGUACAUUUAAUCAAGGCAUUGGGGUCCACAGAUCUUGUUACGACACGAAAAUAUUUGAUGAUUAUCAUUGCAGAUGCCCUCAGUCUCAGGAACACUCUCACUAUGUCUUUGAUUCUGUUAAAGACCCAUGUAGGUAUGCCCAACCUGCCAUUUUUUUAUGCUGGCGACUUCAUCAAAGUGCUACGGCAAAAGCAUGCUUCCAAAAGCUAUUCCGAGAUGAAUUGCAAUUUUGGCAGAUCAUAUAUGUUGAAGCAUGUGAAAGUGGCAGUAUCUUUGAGGGAUUAAUGCCACAAGACCUUAAUAUUUAUGUUACAACAGCAGCAAAUGUGGAAGAAAGUAGCUAGGGAGCAUACUGCCCUGGGAUGGAAACACCAGCUCCUCCUGAAUGUAUGACCUGCUUGGGUGACGCAUACAGGGUUUCUUGGAUGGAAGACAGUGAAACUCACAAUCUACAGAAGGAAACCAUCAAGCAGCAGUACGAGGUGGUUAAAGCAAGAACGGCACCCCCAAAUGACUCCAAUAUCGGUUCUCAUGUCAUGGAGUAUGGUAACAAGACAUUCAAGGAUGACAAGCUUUUCCUUUAUCAAGGUUUCUAUCCUGUGAAGUCAAGCAUCACAAACAGGCCGCUGCUUUCGCCCAGCCUCAAGGGUGCAAUCAAUCAAAGAGAUGUUGAUAUUCUUUUCAUGCUUGUUCCAACGUUUGACACUUCGGCCACCUACUAUCAAAAGAGCACUACUAUGUACGAUCUACAGUAGUCACUUUGAGAAAUUCAAACCAUUGACAGAAAUUCAGACCACCUACUAUCAAAAAAGCACUACUAUGUAUGAUCCAGAGUUGACACUUUGACAGAAAUUCAGAAACACAGGCUCCAUUGUAGAGUUCAGAAAAAUUAGCACGUCUGAUGCCCCUUGCCCCUACCUUUACUAUGUACUUCAUCUUUGAAUCUGCGGACAACCAAACAAUCAAUCAAUCUCCAAUCCAUGCAAAAUAAAUAUGUUCUUAGAAAUUUGGAAAACAAUUUACCACUCAGACAACUUUUCAAGUAGCAAAAUAAUUUAGAAGUACUCAGAAGUACACUUUCUACGCCAUGUCGAAAGUAAAUGGCCGGGAGGAGGAGGACGCGCAGGAGGCAGGGCGGUGUCAGAAUCGCGCGCGUUGAAUCCGGUUGAUGGUUACAGUGACACUGACGCCGCGCUCUAUGCCCUGCCCUUGCUCGCCGAGCCCUGCCUCUCCGGAUAGCCAUGUAUGCUGCUGGGGACCCUGCAGGUCCAUGCUCGUCGGCGAGGGGGAGCGCAGACAGGAGCCUAGCCCGUCAGGCCGUCACAGUCAGUAACAUGGCCAUAGGCCUCUUCUCCCCUUCUCAGUUUACAGCAGCAUGCCACACUCUCUCAGGCUCCUGUCCCCCGUCGUCAGCACACCGAUUCAGAGGCAGAGGCUGACUUGCAGCUCGUGGACACAGAGAAGGAAGCCUAAGAUGAAUCUCAAAAGUUGUUAUCAUUGUUCUCAGCCAGCGAUGCAUAGGGGAAUUGUUUGCUCAUCUAUGUGUUAAAAUCUGGACCUCUUCAUCAACGACUUCAACAAGGAUGAGAUCAAGCUGCGUCUGCUGCUCUGUCCACCACAACAAUUUUGGAAUGCAUUAACUUUUAUCUGCCCAGGGAGUGCGAGAGGGGCAGCAGAGUGGCCAGCGAGGGGGGCACCAUCACGGGAGCUGUGUUCAUAGAAGGCAACAUUGAGAAGAUGUCAAAAACCUCCGUGGAUGAGCGGUGGUUGUGAGAGUUUGCCGAGGAAGGCCGACUCGAUCAUGGAGUGGCUAUCGCUGCAGAAGGAGACGCUAGCAACAGAGACAACCAUCCAUUUGUGCCACCAUCAAUAACAACGUUGUAACAAGCAUGGCUCUACACUGGUUGCUGAAGCAGUAGAGUGGCUUAUGUCAUGUAGGCAACUGGUGGCUACAAGGAUCCGUAUGUAAACAUGGUAUGUGAAAUUUGUGCUACUCAGGAAUGGAAAUGCCAAUUCACAAAUAUAAUAUGCAUGUUUGGUUGAUGAUUACUUGGGGUAGCCGAAUAAAACUUGGAACCAAUAUAACUUAAGUGUGGCUAUGAAAAUUUUAGAUGGAGUUAGUGGUUUGUUACCUAUUGGAGUAACAAAUUCCAUUUACCCAGUAGAAAGCAAGGUGAAUCGGAAAUCAAUUAUUAAAUCUGCUUUAUAGGCUUUUGCUAAAGAGAGAAACUGAGAGAUACUAAUAUCUUGGUUUCAUUG